UAUAAACUUAGGUCUCUUCUUCUUCUUCUUCUUCAACAAUAUUAGGGUUUUGUUAUAUUGAUAGCGUAUACCACUAUCAGUUGAAGCUGCCAGCAUGAUCUAAACUUACCUACAAAUUUAUAUUGAGGCAAGAUCAGAUCAUGUGGUUGCUUCACCCGUUAGUUCGUACUACGAAAAAUAAUCUUAACCCUAUUUUUUUUUCAUGAAUAUGCAGUGGGGAAAGAAAGAAACUAAAUUUAAGGGUAAUGUUAUGUACUCUCUACUUUCUUAGAUUUGCUUUUUUAUGAGUUUCAUUUGAAUUGAGGUUUUUUCGAUUCUUUCUUCACAACAUAUCCAAUGUGAUCCCAUCUGAAAAGGACGGUGUGUAGUACCUUGGCUCAAACUAAUUUUCUAUAUACCUACUAAUUCGAUGUCUAUCGAUUGAUGCAAUUUUUCGUAGUAUACCUAACAAAUCGAGAGGUAUUUUUCUUUUCUAUCUUCUAAUUGUGUUUUUUGUAUUUUUUUAUUUUUGAGUCUUAAUAAACUUAUGAUUAUUUUGAAGAUUUGUUAAUAUGCUUUGAGAAGUGAGCCUUAUCAAUAAAACCAAGAUUUUCUCAGAAAAUGGACCAAAUCUUGAUAAGUUUACAUUUAUUUUAUUUUCUGAGGUUGUGUUGACCCUGUUUUUUUAAACCUAAGUUUGUUUGAUUGCUUUAUUCACUAUUGUUUUAAAGUAAAGAAAAUUAUGGAUCUUUUUUUGCUUCUAGUAAUCAUUAACAUAAACACAUUAUAAGUGUUCUUCAAACAUGUUAAAGUCAAGAAUCCAUCAUUAUGUUUUUCUCAUUUCGUAUUCACGCAGGGUUUGGAGAAGAAUUAAAGCUAGCACACCUAAAGAGUGUCAUGUAGACAACCUAUGAAAAUGAGGAUUUGGAGAAAGAGCUAACACACAUAUGCCAAUGCAAAUAUUAGUGGGUAAUAGUUGUUUUCACGAUUCGAAUUCAUGACCUGACAAGUAUUAGUGGGUUAUAGUUAUUUUCACGAUUUGAAUUCGUGACCUAUUCAGAGAGACAACCUCCAAAGUUCCCGUUCAUGGUUUUUCUCAACUAUGAAAUGAAAUCAUUUUAUUCUACACUCUUUAUAAUGUGGAAGAGACAUAGAGACCUUUAAUUAUGAUCAAUUAGUUUGGUAUAACAUCACACAAAAGCCAUUUAAUGAUCAUGUAAUCCUCUUUACGGUUUAUUAUUUCUUUAAUUAGGACCACAUGAUGCUAAUCCAUUACAAUGACC
rnacentral:lncRNA from 1 species